UCGUCAGUAAGGUACAUCCUUACCUGUUCCCCCGCCGGGGGGCAGUCUAUGAUGAUUGGAGAGCGUAUGAGACAUGAUUAGAGUCUCCGCGGCCACGGUCUGCAACGCCGUAGCCCGCUCCUUUCUGAG
ensembl:snoRNA U8 U8 small nucleolar RNA